GACGAACGCUGUCGGCGUGCUUAACACAUGCAAGUCGAACGGAAAGGCCCUGCUUUUGUGGGGUGCUCGAGUGGCGAACGGGUGAGUAACACGUGAGUAACCUGCCCUUGACUUUGGGAUAACUUCAGGAAACUGGGGCUAAUACCGGAUAGGAGCUCCUGCUGCAUGGUGGGGGUUGGAAAGUUUCGGCGGUUGGGGAUGGACUCGCGGCUUAUCAGCUUGUUGGUGGGGUAGUGGCUUACCAAGGCUUUGACGGGUAGCCGGCCUGAGAGGGUGACCGGCCACAUUGGGACUGAGAUACGGCCCAGACUCCUACGAGAGGCAGCAGUGGGGAAUAUUGCACAAUGGGCGGAAGCCCGAUGCAGCAACGCCGCGUGCGGGAUGACGGCCUUCGGGUUGUAAACCGCUUUCGCCUGUGACGAAGCGUGAGUGACGGUAAUGGGUAAAGAAGCACCGGCUAACUACGUGCCAGCAGCCGCGGUGAUACGUAGGGUGCGAGCGUUGUCCGGAUUUAUUGGGCGUAAAGGGCUCGUAGGUGGUUGAUCGCGUCGGAAGUGUAAUCUUGGGGCUUAACCCUGAGCGUGCUUUCGAUACGGGUUGACUUGAGGAAGGUAGGGGAGAAUGGAAUUCCUGGUGGAGCGGUGGAAUGCGCAGAUAUCAGGAGGAACACCAGUGGCGAAGGCGGUUCUCUGGGCCUUUCCUGACGCUGAGGAGCGAAAGCGUGGGGAGCGAACAGGCUUAGAUACCCUGGUAGUCCACGCUGUAAACGGUGGGUACUAGGUGUGGGGUCCAUUCCACGGGUUCCGUGCCGUAGCUAACGCUUUAAGUACCCCGCCUGGGGAGUACGGCCGCAAGGCUAAAACUCAAAGGAAUUGACGGGGCCCCGCACAAGCGGCGGAGCAUGCGGAUUAAUUCGAUGCAACGCGUAGAACCUUACCUGGGUUUGACAUGGAUCGGGAGUGCUCAGAGAUGGGUGUGCCUCUUUUGGGGUCGGUUCACAGGUGGUGCAUGCCUGUCGUCAGCUCGUGUCGUGAGAUGUUGGGUUAAGUCCCGCAACGAGCGCAACCCUUGUUCACUGUUGCCAGCACGUUAUGGUGGGGACUCAGUGGAGACCGCCGGGGUCAACUCGGAGGAAGGUGGGGAUGACGUCAAGUCAUCAUGCCCCUUAUGUCCAGGGCUUCACGCAUGCUACAAUGGCUGGUACAGAGAGUGGCGAGCCUGUGAGGGUGAGCGAAUCUCGGAAAGCCGGUCUCAGUUCGGAUUGGGGUCUGCAACUCGACCUCAUGAAGUCGGAGUCGCUAGUAAUCGCAGAUCAGCAACGCUGCGGUGAAUACGUUCCCGGGGCU
rnacentral:rRNA from 1 species